GAAAAAGCUAAGGAACAGGAAAGUUACACAGCACUUUAGUGGUGAAACUGGGAAUCAAACCCAGCUUCUUUAGCAUUUAGAUGGAUGCCCUAACCAUUAGGCCACAUUUAACUUCCCACUGUUAUUAUCUGUCACAACUAGCUCUGGCCUGAUCUCCUCAGCUGUCUAUAUUAAGAAGGGGGGGGGGGGAACUCCCUCUACAGAUACCCAGAAUUCCACUGCUGCCUUCAAGACACCUCACCCCACAAACCCAUCUUCCUCCAAGCCCUGACAGAACAACAGCUGCUUUUCAAGAAGCACUAGAAGAGUAUCUUGAAGUCCCAGGUGUGAAGAAAUGAAUGAGCACGUAGCUAUCUAGUACCUUCAGGUGUAAGCAGACACCACCUGUCAAGACAGAGGAUGAGCACUCUGCUAAUCAGAACUGCCAGGGAACCAACAUAUCAGUUAUUCACCCACUGCUAAUUAUAAUGCUCUGGAUAUUCUUGAUGUCUAUAAAAAUGACAAGAUUCAAAAGGGAACUGGACAAGUUCUUGGCAUCACUGACUUCUGUGGCAAUGAGUUUCACAAUGUAUGAAAAAGAAUGUCCUUCUAUCAAUUUUGAAUGUCCCAUAUUUAAAUUUCACUCAAUGUCCCCUUGUUUUUGUGUUAUGGGACAGCGAGAAGUUUCUUAUAAACCUUCUCAACAUUAUUCAUUAUUUUAUAUUGUGGUUUCAUGUUCCCUCUUACCACCUUUCUAUGGAAAAUAAUCCCACGCUUUUCCAUCUCUCAUCAUAUGAAUGUUUUUCUAGGCCCUUGAUCAUUCUUGUUGGUCCUCCCCUCUAAUUCUGCAAUAUCCUUUUUGAGAUUGGGGUGACAGUACUACAUAUAGUAUUCCAGAUGAGGCUGUACCAUUGAUUUUAUAUGAAUGCAUUAUAAAA